GGUCAAUUUCAUCUGAUGAUUUUUUAAAAAAUGCAGUGUCUAUUAUUGUCUGAUGAAGGGUUAAUAAACUUGUACAAUGUUUGGUGACCUAGUUGGCCAAAUAAAAAUAUUGCCUUCAUGAGUAUGAAGGAUGCUAAGGUUAUAUUCUAAUCGUAACUCAACUGUCCAGGCAACAAAACAAGCCUUCCACUGAACUAUGAUAUCACAGUGCUACUCUGGAUCUUCAUCUGGUUGACUCACACAAAGAAGUUUUGCUAAAUGACUGAUGGAUGGGCAGGAGGAAACCGUACUGGCCAUGGUCACGAAGCUCAAAGGCGAAUGAAUAUUUUAUUCCUUCAUCGUAAGCCCAAUCUACGGAUGUUCCAGAACAAGGAUCUGAAAAACAAAUAAUGUUAAAAACAACCGGAACACAAAGGGAAUGGUGAAAUAGGAAGACUGACUGUGUGAGAUUAGUCUGAGAAAAAGAUUUUCACCAGAGCUACCUCCAUUGGUUCAAAUGAAACAGAAUGAGGACUAGCAUAGGCAAUUAAAUGGAUAUUGUUAUUUCAGGGCACCCAACUAUCCAUGCCUUCGUCCAUACUUUCUAAAAUCAUGAUUAAAUUCCCUGCAUGUA